rnacentral:lncRNA from 1 species
UCUAUCGUAUACAUCAUACCAAUUACAUCAAAAUAAUACUACUCAAUGACCUCCGACAUUUUGUAAUUCAAUAACCUCCAUCAAGAUCCCAUAAUAAUCUCGUUUUUCAGUUUCGGCACUAGUAUCACCAACUACAACCACCCCACAAUUUUAUGUCUUUAAGCCUUUGUCACGAUCUUCUAUCCGAAACCUAUAUCCAUUAAUUAGAUAACCAUU